rnacentral:tRNA from 1 species
GGAUUGUGGCUCAGUGGUAGAGUGCUUGCCUAGCAUGUAUGAGGCCCUGGGUUCAAUUCUCAGCACCA